GAUGAACGCUGGCGGCGUGCCUAAUACAUGCAAGUCGAGCGAACAGAUGAGGAGCUUGCUCCUCUUACGUUAGCGGCGGACGGGUGAGUAACACGUGGAUAACCUACCUUUAAGACUGGGAUAACUUUGGGAAACCGGAUCUAAUACCGGAUAAUAUCUUGAACCGCAUGGUUCAAUAGUGAAAGACGGUUUUGCUGUCACUUAUAGAUGGCUCCGCGCCUCAUUGGUUAGUUGGUAAGUUAACGGCUUGCCAAGGCAACCAUGAGUAGCCAACCUGAGAGGGUGGUAGGCAAAACGGGAAAGUAAACACGGUCCAGGAUCCUAAGGGAGGCAGCAGUAGGGAAUCUUCCGCAAUGGGGGAAAGCAUGACGGAACAAGGCCGAGUGAGUGAUAAAGGUCUUGGGAUCGUAAAACUCUGUUAUUGGGGAAGAACAAAUGUGGAAGGAAAUAUGCACGAAGUGACGGUAAAUAAUCAGAAAGCAACGGCUAACUACGUG
rnacentral:rRNA from 1 species